AAGUAUUCAUCAUCAAAUUUCAGAACUGCAGCUGUCCCAUUUCUGGAAGUUGAAGAACAUUAUUUGCCUAUCUAAGGAAGCAGUAAGAAAAGGAUGGAAGAGAUUGUGGUCAAGACUGAAAUACUGUUGAUGAUGCAUAGGUGCCUGUGGAAUGACUGGACUGCAUCUUAUUUUACGUGCUAAGUUCAGUAUUUCCUAUAUGUUGUCGUAGGUGUUUACGAGGAGUCGGGCUGUGAUGCGAUAGGACCUCCGCUGCUCUGUGAUAAGAGACGUGACGCACGCUUGGGGGCGUAGACGCACUAGACCCACGUAAACGCACGUGGACGUAGGAACGUGGAUAAGCAUGUAAAGUAUAUAUGUUGCUGAUUGCUUGCAAUAAGUGUCAUUUUGCCUAACAUCACAUUGGUGUGCACGUGGUGAGAUGGUCGGGUCACAGCAGGGAUGGCGUGAACCCUGACCAGGCCAUAGGAACGUGAGGAACAAGGGGUUUCCUACGAGGAAACACCUACAUCAGAAUUUAAACUUUUU
rnacentral:lncRNA from 1 species